rnacentral:lncRNA from 1 species
UCCACGAUUUGCCUUUUCUAAUGCUUAUAUCAUGGUUCUCCCACUCUCUCUUUUCCAGGUCUGCGGGCUUAGAUCUCCCAUCUCCUGCUGAGCCUGUUGUUCCAGGAUACGCACCGGGGAAUACGAUGGAAACACAAGAGCCACUGAGUCGGAUGGUGUUCUGGAUCCAACUAGCCUCUUUCCAGGGGUCAGUUGACUACGGGACGUGGAGAAAUGAUGGCUGCAGGCUAGCCUUGCUGGAGAGAAGUUAAGCAGCCCAGCAGAAUUCAUCCUCACAAUGCAGCCUUGUUCGCGCCCACAGUGUCUGAGCCAGCAUGUGGCACGCGGCGGAAUGAACCGAGGCUUUGUGUGUGGGUGUGUCACAGAUAUUGUUUUCAUUUGUCUGUUUUCUCCGCAUUUUCCUUCCUGUUUCAUCAUGAAACCAAUCUCAUCAGGACCAGCCCUCCUCGGAGGUGAGACUUGUGUGGGAAAAGUUUGGGAACAGGAAUAGGAUAGGAGUGGGGGAAGGUGUGUGACAAUACAACCUGUUAUAUAUGAUGUGGCGUUUAAUUAGAGCUGUUGUCAACAGCUAUGAUUAAAGAGACUGAUUGCUGUUGGAACAAAGGACCUCCUAAAUCUCUCGUGGUUCAUUUUUUUGGACCCAUGGCUAUACACAGAGUGUCUGGCAUGAAUCUGGAGCAUCGACACCCUUAUUUCACAAACAUACUCAGUAUUGAGGUGGCUGGGUUCAUGCUGAUCAGGAAGCAACCUGCAGAUUGCCUCAAAAGAUGCAAGAAUAAUACAACUUUUCGAUAAACGUUAAGGGAAAGGGUUCCAAAAAAGUGUGACGCGACCAUUAAAUCCAAAGUUAUUGAAACAGAACUAGAGAAGUCUAGUAAGUGCUGUCUUGUUAUUUUUCCACAUAGCAAGAGAAGGUGCAACAUGAAAGAUGGAAGCAAACAUAAUAAUAAUAAUAAUAAUACAUUUAAUUUAGAGGCGCCUUUCAAGACACCCAAGGUCACCUGAACAUAGUUAUGUUAUAUUGUAAAUGAAAUACUAUUUAUUAUUAUUUAUAGUUAUUAUUAUU